rnacentral:misc_RNA from 1 species
AACGCACCUUGCGCUCCUUGGUAUUCCGAGGAGCAUGCCUGUUUGAGUGUCAUUAAAUUCUCAACCAUGACUUUGUUGACAUGGCUUGGAGGUUGGGGGUUGCUGGCUUGUUUGUCAGCUCUCCUGAAAUACAUUAGCGGUGGACAAGCAAGGCCUUCCGACGUGAUAAUGAUCGUCGUGGGGCGGAGCAUCAACGUCUGUCUGCUUCUAAAUCCCAGAUGCCUUAGCUAGACAUCAUUUCGAACGCUUGACCUCAAAUCAGGUAGGACUACCCGCUGAACUUAA